rnacentral:rRNA from 1 species
CCUACGGGGGGCUGCAGUGAGGAAUAUUGGACAAUGGAUGGAAAUCUGAUCCAGCCAUGCCGCGUGCAGGAAGACGGCCCUAUGGGUUGUAAACUGCUUUUGUAUGGGAGCAAUAAGAUCUACGUGUAGGUCGAUGAGAGUACCAUACGAAUAAGCACCGGCUAACUCCGUGCCAGCAGCCGCGGUAAUACGGAGGGUGCAAGCGUUAUCCGGAUUUAUUGGGUUUAAAGGGUGCGUAGGCGGUUUUAUAAGUCAGUGGUGAAAUAUUCCGGCUCAACCGGGAGACUGCCAUUGAUACUGUAGAGCUGGAAUUUGGUUGCUGUGGGUGGAAUGUGUGGUGUAGCGGUGAAAUGCUUAGAGAUCACACAGAAUAUCGAUUGCGAAGGCAGCUCACAAAGCCAAUAUUGACGCUGAUGCACGAAAGUGUGGGGAUCAAACAGGAUUAGAUACCCUGGUAGUC